GUGGGUGUAGCUCAGUCUGGUGAGAGCGCCUGGUUGUGGUCCAGGAGGUCGGGGGUUCGAAUCCCCUCACUCACCCCA
rnacentral:tRNA from 1 species